AUUGAACGCUGGCGGCAGGCCUAACACAUGCAAGUCGAGCGGACGAAGGGAGCUUGCUCCUGGAUUCAGCGGCGGACGGGUGAGUAAUGCCUAGGAAUCUGCCUGGUAGUGGGGGAUAACGUCCGGAAACGGGCGCUAAUACCGCAUACGUUCUGAGGGAGAAAGUGGGGGAUCUUCGGACCUCACGCUAUCAGAUGAGCCUAGGUCGGAUUAGCUAGUUGGUGAGGUAAAGGCCUACCAAGGCGACGAUCCGUAACUGGUCUGAGAGGAUGAUCAGUCACACUGGAACUGAGACACGGUCCAGACUCCUACGGGAGGCAGCAGUAGGGAAUAUUGGGCAAUGGGCGAAAGCCUGAUCCAGCCAUGCCGCGUGUGUGAAGAAGGUCUUCGGAUUGUAAAGCACUUUUAGUUGGGAGGAAGAGCAGUAAGUUAAUACCUUGCUGUUUUGACGUUACCAACAGAAUAAGCACCGGCUAACUUCGUG
rnacentral:rRNA from 1 species